rnacentral:rRNA from 1 species
UACGUAGGGUGCGAGCGUUAAUCGGAAUUACUGGGCGUAAAGCGUGCGCAGGCGGCUUGCCAAGUCAGAUGUGAAAGCCCCGGGCUCAACCCGGGAACUGCGUUUGAAACUGGUAGGCUAGAGUUUGGCAGAGGGGGGUGGAAUUCCACGUGUAGCAGUGAAAUGCGUAGAGAUGUGGAGGAACACCGAUGGCGAAGGCAGCCCCUGGGCCAAAACUGACGCUGAGGAGCGAAAGUGUGGGGAGCGAACAGG